AGAGGCACCCCGUGUGAGAAAUGACGAAAAGGUCACAGUCCCGGUUGACAAGGCUUUACAAGGAGAUGGAGAAAGCUGGGAACAUGAAGUUUGAGAUGCAUAGGAUUGGAGUUUGGAAAAAUCUUGAAAAAUAGAUGCAACACAGAGAAUAAAUCUAAUUUCUUUAAUAAUGUCUUAUCUUAAUAUAGUCAGCAAAUAAGUAUAGGUAAUCAUGCGAUGGCGAGUACCAAUUAGGGAUUAAUAGUACGAGUGACGUUUGGAAAUUUUUUCGAAAUUGGACGAGCCGCCGUACUUGUUUAUUACUAGCAUGACAAAAUUGGAUAAUUCUCAAUGUCAACAUCAUAUUCUCUCGCCAAAGCCCAGUCCUGCCAGACUUUAUUUAGUUCUUUUACUUUAAGUUCCUCUAGGGCAAUUCAUAAAUGUGGUGUUUAAAUACCUUUCCGCCAUUCUGUUUGUUUUGGGAAAAUUGUACUCCAGUUCAAUUAAUGAAAUAAUUGUAUACUCCUCUCAACCAAUCAGCAUCUAGUAAUUUUGUCAUGCUAAUAAUAAUAAAUGCAAUCAUUUAAUGUCAAUAAUGUAAUACGAAAUUUUAUAAUUAAUUUAAGUUUGUCGCUUUGGCGUCAACUGCGCAAGCAUGCAUAAAUAUAGCCACGUAUAGAGGAAAAUGUGUUGCUUUCAAGAAUGAAUAAAAUUAUAUUCAACUAAGAUUUUGUAGAUGG